AUACUUGUCCCCUGGUAGAGGUGACAGCUCGGUCACAGAGGUGAUUUCCCCACGGCGAGGCUUUAGCCUUUGCUUUCUGGGUGUGCUCACUCCUGAAGUCUCCUCAGAGUCAGGAAACCUCAUACUCUGUGGCAGUGCAGGACUGCAUUCAUGUUCCUGUU